GCCUGGGUGGCCCAGCCGGUUAAGCAUCUGACUUCAGCUCAGGUCAUUAUCUCAUGGCUUGUGGGCUCAAGCCCCACAUCAGGCU
rnacentral:tRNA from 1 species